CCCAAACUCAGAAAAGAAAUAGCCAUUGGAAAAUUAAGGAUAUGAUUACUUUUUCAGUAUUUUAUUUCUAUCCAAGUAAAGGUGAAAGAAGUUAAAUCUUAAGAAAACCAAAGAAUAAAUAGACAGUGAACCUUAAAUAACCCACUAUUCUUCCUAUUUUUGCAUAUUUCUGAGGUCUUCUAAAAGUUCUAGAUAAAGCCUACAGAGCUAGAGAUUUGAGUGUUUGUUUUUUUAAAUUGUGUCUAUUUCAUUGGCAUGGAAUUUAACUUGUCCUCUGAGGUUGAAACAGUUAACAAGAGGCUUCAUGAUAGAGCUGGUUCUGCAUGUAUUUUCCGGUUGCAGUUGGUAGGCAGGCUGUUGGAAGUGGACCUAGAUUUGCUCAGGAUAUGAAGAAGGCAUGAUUCAUCUAUUUUGAAAGGGCUGUCUGUCCCAGUUCCGGGAGAGAUGCCGUUGUUUGCCUGCUCCCCUAAGGAGGAAGGCAGACACGAAGUGGAUUGUAUGACACCACGAUUACUAGUCUUAGAUAAGGAGUUGAAACUGCAGCGUCAACCUAAGGGCAUCCAAGCAGAAGUGCUGGGGAACGGGAUUGGAAAUACCCAGAAACAAAGUCCUUGCCUAAACUCAGUGGAAACCUGUGUUCCUCCAGGCUGUUAUCAUCUCAAAUAAGUAUUUCCACAGGAAAUGAAAAACAAUGGCAAAGUUACAUGAAUUUUGAAGCAUAAACAUAUUGCAAAAUUGAAAGAAAACAGGUAAGACGGUUUCCAUUAAAUUGCACUGCUUUGGGGCUAAAGAUUUUACCUAAGUUAGAUAUAAGGGAUAAGUGCUAAGAAAUAGAAAAUUAGGAAUUAAAACCAAAAAUUAUGCCAUCUGACACAGAACAGGAUGAGAUUUUUUCCUGGAGUUAAAGAUAUUGCUGUUACAUAAUCAUGUUAGCCUGAAGGCCUGCUUGAUACAUAGAAUCGUCCAAGAACAUGAGUUGUAAUUAGAAGUUGUGAUGCACAUUUUAUGUUAAAACGUACCACCCACCUAAUUAAUGCAGAAGGUUUCACAGAAAGCCCUAUAACGGAUGGAACCCUGAUUCCACAGGGAAGCAUGUAUUAUAACAGCACAAAUGGAGGAAGGGUUAGGUGACAGCAACUGGGUGAGCAAAAGCAGAAUAUGCAAAGGUGCUGGGGAGAGAAGAAAAUAAACCUCAAUAGAGGACGUUUAAAUUUGUUUUU
rnacentral:lncRNA from 1 species